CCGACCAUGGACAACUCUACUCCAAACUUCUUUCAAACUUCAUCAAUGUCUAAGCUUCUCCGACAACAGAAUUUCUAUAGUAAUCAGACUCCAUCCAAGUUUUUACGAUGGCCGACGACCUUCUGAAUUUCAUCCGAGCUCCUACAGUGGAUGGAUCCCAGAUGAAUUUUAACAACAGAAGGGCUCCACCAGUCGGAUCUC
rnacentral:lncRNA from 1 species